AUUGAACGCUAGCGGGAUGCCUUACACAUGCAAGUCGAACGGCAGCACGGACUUCGGUCUGGUGGCGAGUGGCGAACGGGUGAGUAAUGUAUCGGAACGUGCCUAGUAGCGGGGGAUAACUACGCGAAAGCGUAGCUAAUACCGCAUACGCCCUACGGGGGAAAGCAGGGGAUCGUAAGACCUUGCACUAUUAGAGCGGCCGAUAUCGGAUUAGCUAGUUGGUGGGGUAACGGCUCACCAAGGCGACGAUCCGUAGCUGGUUUGAGAGGACGACCAGCCACACUGGGACUGAGACACGGCCCAGACUCCUACGGGAGGCAGCAGUGGGGAAUUUUGGACAAUGGGGGAAACCCUGAUCCAGCCAUCCCGCGUGUGCGAUGAAGGCCUUCGGGUUGUAAAGCACUUUUGGCAGGAAAGAAACGUUCCGGGUUAAUACCCCGGGAAACUGACGGUACCUGCAGAAUAAGCACCGGCUAACUACGUGCCAGCCGCCGCGGUAAUAC
rnacentral:rRNA from 1 species